UAGGGAAUCUUCCGCAAUGGGCGAAAGCCUGACGGAGCAACGCCGCGUGAGUGAUGAAGGUCUUCGGAUCGUAAAACUCUGUUAUUAGGGAAGAACAAAUGUGUAAGUAACUAUGCACGUCUUGACGGUACCUAAUCAGAAAGCCACGGCUAACUACGUGCCAGCAGCCGCGGUAAUACGUAGGUGGCAAGCGUUAUCCGGAAUUAUUGGGCGUAAAGCGCGCGUAGGCGGUUUUUUAAGUCUGACGUGAAAGCCCACGGCUCAACCGUGGAGGGUCAUUGGAAACUGGAAAACUUGAGUGCAGAAGAGGAAAGUGGAAUUCCAUGUGUAGCGGUGAAAUGCGCAGAGAUAUGGAGGAACACCAGUGGCGAAGGCGACUUUCUGGUCUGUAACUGACGCUGAUGUGCGAAAGCGGGGGGAUCAAACAGG
rnacentral:rRNA from 1 species